rnacentral:rRNA from 1 species
AUUGAACGCUGGCGGCAUGCCUUACACAUGCAAGUCGAACGGCAGCACGGGUGCUUGCCCCUGGUGGCGAGUGGAGAACGGGUGAGUAAUACAUCGGAACAUGUCCUGUAGUGGGGGAUAGCCCGGCGAAAGCCGGAUUAAUACCGCAUACGAUCUACGGAUGAAAGCGGGGGACCUUCGGGCCUCGUGCUAUAGGGUUGGCCGAUGGCUGAUUAGCUAGUUGGUGGGGUAAAGGCCUACCAAGGCGACGAUCAGUAGCUGGUCUGAGAGGACGACCAGCCACACUGGGACUGAGACACGGCCCAGACUCCUACGGGAGGCAGCAGUGGGGAAUUUUGGACAAUGGGCGAAAGCCUGAUCCAGCAAUGCCGCGUGUGUGAAGAAGGCCUUCGGGUUGUAAAGCACUUUUGUCCGGAAAGAAAUCCUUGGCCCUAAUACGGUCGGGGGAUGACGGUACCGGAAGAAUAAGCACCGGCUAACUACGUG